rnacentral:lncRNA from 1 species
CGGAACGAAUAACAUAAAAAGUUAAUUAGGAACUAAAAGGAUCUUAUUAGAUAACUGGAUUAUCACAGACACAUACUGUGGCAACACUUAUUUCUUUGGAGCAAAUGCUUGCUUCUUAAGCUUUCUCUAGAGCAUUGUUGCCAAUGCAAUAGUUCUCCCUGCAGUUUGACAUGCAAGUUCCAAUCUUCUCAUUAUCUGCAAUAUUAACCAGAAAAAUAAUUUU